rnacentral:rRNA from 1 species
CUCCGGUUGAUCCUGCCGGACCCGACUGCUAUCAGAGUGGGACUGAGCCAUGCGAGUCAACAUAGCAAUAUGUGGCAUACGGCUCAGUAACACGUAGUCAACAUGCCCAGGGGACGUGGAUAACCUCGGGAAACUGAGGAUAAACCGCGAUAGGUCAUCACUUCUGGAAUGGGUAAUGACUUAAAUCUAUAUGGCCCCCGGAUUGGACUGCGGCCGAUCAGGCUGUUGGUGAGGUAAUGGCCCACCAAACCUGUAACCGGUACGGGCUCUGAGAGGAGGAGCCCGGAGAUGGGCACUGAGACAAGGGCCCGGGCCCUAUGGGGCGCAGCAGGCGCGAAACCUCUGCAAUAGGCGAAAGCUUGACAGGGUUACUCUGAGUGAUUUCCGUUAAGGAGAUCUUUUGGCACCUCUAAAAAUGGUGCAGAAUAAGGGGUGGGCAAGUCUGGUGUCAGCCGCCGCGGUAAUACCAGCACCCCGAGUGGUCGGGACGUUUAUUGGGCCUAAAGCAUCCGUAGCCGGUUCUACAAGUCUUCCGUUAAAUCCACCUGCUUAACAGAUGGGCUGCGGAAGAUACUAUAGAGCUAGGAGGCGGGAGAGGCAAGCGGUACUCGAUGGGUAGGGGUAAAAUCCGUUGAUCCAUUGAAGACCACCAGUGGCGAAGGCGGCUUGCCAGAACGCGCUCGACGGUGAGGGAUGAAAGCUGGGGGAGCAAACCGGAUUAGAUACCCGGGUAGUCCCAGCUGUAAACGAUGCAGACUCGGUGAUGAGUUGGCUUAUUGCUAACUCAGUGCCGCAGGGAAGCCGUUAAGUUUGCCACCUGGGGCGUACGGUCGCAAGACUGAAACUUAAAGGAAUUGGCGGGGGAGCA